rnacentral:sRNA from 1 species
UUGGCAACCCUACAAGCUAAAGUCCUCUCUUUAUCUGCAGGAAAGGCAGAAGCAGUGCAGACAUCCUCUAGAUUCACUCACCAACACCAGCCAAUGUGCCUCAACUCUGCCCUAGAGAGACAACCUUAAGGACAAAGAGAGUAGGUUUUCUCCAGGCCCAUUCAAUCCUUGGCCUCU